CCAGAUGGCUGGGCGACCGCUGGUCCUUCGGGGCUGGAGGAAAGUCCGGGCUCCACGGGAAGACGGUGCCGGCUAACGGCCGGCGGGCGAGAGCCCAGGGAAAGUGCCACAGAGAGCAGACCGCCGCGGCGCCGCGUCCCUCGGGGCCAGGCUUCGCGGCAAGGGUGAAAGGGUGGGGUAAGAGCCCACCGCGCCCCCGGCAACGGGGGCGGCAUGGCAACCCCCACCGGGAGCAAGGCCGAAUAGGGGCGGCCGGCGAGGCGCAAGCCGUCGCAGGGGCAUUCCCGCCCCGCCGCCCGGGUUGGCCGCGUGAACCCUGCCGCAAGGCAGGGUCCAGAGGAAUGGUCGUCCACGGUCGCAAGACCCGGACAGAACCCGGCUUACAGGCCAUCUGGUGUG
rnacentral:RNase_P_RNA from 1 species